GAAUAUAAUGAGCAUUAGUUUCGUUGAUGGUACUCAUUAGACUAACCAAAGAGCUUUUAAACAUUGAACCAAGAGUAUUACUUUUUGGCUUGGUUUUUAUUUUUUUGGUAUCGGCUGGGGGUGCAGUUUGUUCAAGACGGAAUAAAACCAGAUCCUUGACAAAGGGAACGUCUGAAUUUGUAAAAAGCUCCAACAACUCAUCGGAUAUUGUAUCACGGUUUUUAUCAAUAAAUCCUUCGGCACAGUAAACAACGUCAAGAGCAUAAUGCUUAAUUGUAAACUCCUUGUUACCAAACCUUGAUUUCUGAUAACUAUUUUUGAAUUCUGGCUUGGAGAAUGCAUCGUUCAACUUACUAACCCAAUUUUCAUCGCUGUUCGUGGGCAUUCGGCAUUCUUCGUCUAAAAGGGAAAGAAUCCCUAAACGACUCUCAAU